GCGAAAACGCGUUCCCACGAUGCGGAAAAGCCAUGCCACGUCGGGGCUCCGGCCAUUGAAACCCCGGAUCAUCGGGUCUAUCGUAUUGAUGUUCCGAGGGGGGCUCCGGCGUGGAGCUGAGAUACCGCGUGAUGCGCGGUGACCCUUUGAACCUGAUCCGGGUCAUGCCGGCGAAGGGACAGGGAUGUUACAGAAAGCCACAUCUCCGCGAGGGGAAUCUUCCGUCAAUAUUAUCGGUGCGGGCAUUGCCGGGUCAUGGC
rnacentral:misc_RNA from 1 species